GGCUGCAGAAGAGUGAUGCUGGCUGGUACUGGUUCAGUGCAGGAGAUGUGGGAGUUACUGUUCACCUCACCGUCACUGAAAGACCUACAACAACAACAGCAGCUGUGACUACAGUUCCUACCACUCAGAAAACCACCAACAGUUCUACAACUUCAGCUACAACUAAAGAGACAACAACAACGACAACAA